AUAUCAAUAAGCGGAGGAAAAGAAACUAACAAGGAUUCCCUCAGUAGCGGCGAGUGAAGCGGGAAGAGCUCAAAUUUAAAAUCUGGCCUCUUCGAAGCCCGAGUUGUAGUCUAAAGAAGCGUUUUCCUUUGUUCAUCAAGGCAAAAGUCCUCUGGAAAGGGGCAUCAUAGAGGGUGAGAAUCCCGUCUUUGGCUUUGAAUGUAGCAAUUUUGUGAUACGCUUUCUAAGAGUCAGGUUGUUUGGGAAUGCAGCCUAAAAUGGGUGGUAAAUUUCAUCUAAAGCUAAAUAUUGGCGAGAGACCGAUAGCGCACAAGUA
rnacentral:rRNA from 1 species